rnacentral:tRNA from 1 species
GGCGAGGUAGCUCAGUGGUAGAGCUGCGGACUCAUAAGCCGUCGGUCGCGAGUUCAAAUCUCGCCCUCGCCACCA